CUCGGCAACGGAUAUCUAGGCUCUCGCAUCGAUGAAGAACGUAGCAAACUGCGAUACUUGGUGUGAAUUGCAGAAUCCCGUGAACCAUCGAGUCUUUGAACGCAAGUUGCGCCUGAAGCCAUUAGGUUGAGGGCACGUCUGCCUGGGCGUCAA
rnacentral:rRNA from 1 species